ACCAUAUAUUCGACAACAAAAUACUAUUCAAAAAUACAUUAUGAAUAAAAAAAAUAAGGCUCAAAUAGGCACUAAAUAUAUAAUUGGAGGCUCAUCAUUAUCCCCCAGCUGUCAAAGACACAUUGGGAACAUCAUUAUACCCGAUUGUCAAAGACACCUUGUCCCGAGGUGGAAAUUAGGAAAUUGCUGGAUGAUUGAGGCCAAGAUUUCGAAGAUGCUUCUGAUUCAGGUAGUCUUUUCGACUGGUGCAGAACCUCUUGUCCAAGAGGCUGCCUACCGGUGAUUGUCGAAUUUCCAAGACCUUCUCAGGCACUACGAUCCAUUCCAGGUAUGUGUCAAGGUGUGGUGGAAAAGUCUGGCUGGCCAUAUUAGAACCCAAGUGCUUUUCUUAAUUGAGACGCAUGAAAAAAAGGAUGAAUGGAGUCUAUAGAGAGUAGCUCCAUAUGGUAAGCAGUGGGUUCAAUCGUUUUAUCACCUUGAAUGGACUGUAAUAGCGUGGCCCUAGUUUUUCAUUGGUUUCUUGGCCAAGGAGCGAAGACGAUAAGGAUGCUGCUUGACAUACACUAGUUCACACAUUGAGUUCUUUAUAGCUCGAAGAGUUUUGCUCAAAAAUGGCGGAGAAGAAUUUUUAUCGAGACCUGAUAUGAUUGAGCAUGGGAUACCAUGAAGUUUGAAUACUUCUUUAACAAAGAUGGCUGCAACUAUUGAGGUCGUGAAUGGGUGCUCAAGAGUCGGAAAAUGAGCGUAUUUGCUCAAACCGUCUGCUUCCACCAAAAUCGAAUCAAAACCACUUGAUUUUGCCAAUCCUUUAAUGCAGUCCAUGGAGAUAUCUUCCCAAAUCUUUAAUGGGAUAUGUAGCGUUUGUAGAAGUCCGGCCGAAGAUAUUGCGAGACUCGACAUAUAGUACAUUCAUUAACAAAAUUUAAUCUGUUAGCAAAGGACAUCUUUAUUUAUUUAAACAGUCUUCAACAAUAUACAUACACACAUUUGUUCUGGCAUACCUGGGUUGAAGCUGAAAAGCGUGACGGAGAAAACAGAGUGCGCCAAGUGCACCAUGGUCUGUGAAGAAGAAACAGUAAUUGUUGUAAGUAUUAUGCCCUAAAUCCAAUCGAUUUAGAUUGUAA
rnacentral:lncRNA from 1 species